GGUGAUUCAAGCGGGCCUCUUGGAAGAGAAGAACGUGAGCCAGGUCUUGGUGAAAGUCAUGGAAUGAGAACCACCUUGGAGUCCAUUGGGCCAUCUCCGUUAGAAGACCUAAUGUCUUGGAGCCCUUGGUAUAAAUUCAUAUCCUGUGGAAUUACUGGGCCACCGGUAGAUGCCCUUUACGUCUCAGUGACCCUCAGCCAAUGUUCAGUUCCUGGUAACACGCCACCAGGAUCGACGGAGCUUUCCGACUCGCCUCCUGCCAGAGUGCCCUUCUGCUGCGACCAGGAGACCCCGGGGGCAGGGGAGAAGCAUGAAGGAGACAGCACCUGGAUCGAAAGUGCUUUUCUCUUUCCUCCUGUAUCUUUUGAGAG